GAUGAAGAACGCAGCGAAAUGCGAUAAGUAGUGUGAAUUGCAGAAUUCAGUGAAUCAUCGAAUCUUUGAACGCACAUUGCGCCUCCUGGUAUUCCGGGAGGCAUGCCUGUUCGAGCGUCAUCAAAAACCUCAACCCAUGAUUUAUUGUGAGUUGGUUCUGCAUUGGACUCCUUGUGGGUCCUUUGCGAAAUCCAAUGGCGAAGAGCCACGCAACCAAAGCGUAGUAUAACUAUUUCGUUAUGGAAGCGUGGGUGCCUCUGCCGUAACCCCCAAUUUCUUAGUUUUUGACCUCGGAUCAGGUAGGGAUACCCGCUGAACUUAAGCAUAUCAAUAACGGAGGA
rnacentral:misc_RNA from 1 species